rnacentral:lncRNA from 1 species
AGUAAUAAACGGAUAUAGAUGAUGUACCUUGAGUAGGAGUGGAUAUCUCUUUGUGCAAGUAUAAAGACUUGGAGGCAUUAACUUUGUCAAAGCAUUUAUGAAGAUCUACCCAGACCGCCUGAGCACCGUAUCUAUAGACACUCCAGUAAUUAGCUCCUUAGACACAAAAUUCAUCAAUCACGCACGACCAAUAAGCCCUAAUCUUCAAUUGGUGAUAGCCCGAUCUCAAGUCAAUCUUCGAGAAUACCCUGGUACCCUGAAUCUGAUCUAACAAAUCAUCAAUAGGAGGCUAUAAAUACUUGUUCUUGAUAGUGACCCUACCUGUGAUUAAUAUCCACCCUCAUAGAACUACCUUUCUUCUUCACAAAUAACAUCGGCACACCCCAAGGAGAAAUACUUGUCCUGAUGAAUGCCUUAUCCAAAACUCCUGUAACUGCUCCUUCAACUCUUUUAACUUAGUUGGAGCCAUGUGAAUUGCAACACUCUCACUAGUACCAUAAUCCUUUUUGAGUUUCUCCUUCACUGAGUACUAUCCAAAAAACCUAGCUUGUUGCAUCCCAUGAGUGCGAUCUUCAUCGAGCGACUCUAAAGAGAAUAAUUCCCGGUUCCAGUCAAUUGAACAGAGAUAGGAAAAGAUCCACAUGUAUCAGAAGCAUAGAAAUAAAGUGGAUGAUUGUGACCGAGUUUAACCUCGAAUUCAUCGUCUUCAACUACGUCUGACAUUGUUACCCACCGUGAGCAAUUAACGAAACAAAAUGAAGAAAGACGAAACCCCAUACACAAAAGAGAUCGAGAAGAAACCGCCUUUGAGUGGAUCUAGAAUCUCUAGCCCAAAGGUUCUGAUACCAUGUCAAAUUGUUGAAUUGAGAGCAAACAUAGAACCUUAUUUGAGAGCAAAGUUAAAAACCAACAAAGAGAAAUGGAGAAAAUGAGAAAACUGAAUUACUUCCACUCUAUGCAGCUGCUUUAUAUACGCAAUUAGCUAACUAGUUAGGCAACAAUCUCUACUAACUAACUAUAUGUUAAACACACCAAAUAGCCCAUGUAGCCACCUGCCUCCUUCUCAAAUACCCACUCCUUCUUUAACACUAUUAUAACAAUUCAGCUUGUAGUAAAUUUGGUCAUUUAAAAUUAUAAUAUGAAGUUUUUGAGACUUUACAUUUUGUCCUAAAUAAAUAGUACAUUUUAACAUUACAGGAUUUUUGGUUGGUGUUUGAUUAUUGUAUAUAUAUGCAUAUUCUCUUUUAGAACACAUAUAAUUAAAGAGAUUUUUUUUUCUUUUCAAAGCUACACAAAAUAUGAGUUAGUAAUAUUUAAGGAGAUAUAACAGAGUUAAGCCUAGUUUGUAUACGGGUAUAACCGAGGGUAAUAUAUACGGAGUCAAAAAAAGCAAAGGCACGAUUAUACGGGGUCGGAAUCAAAGCCGGAACGCCUCGUACUAAGGUACGAACGGAGUGGUCACCACCGGGCUUGAUAAGACAUUACUUCCCCGAUCCCGAAACUAGCUCCGAGACCUCGGAAGACACAAUAACGGUUACCCACGACUAUCACGGCGCAGAUUUCGGCCCGUAUCGAUAGCGGAUCAUUGAUUAACAAAAAAUAAGAUUUUUUACCUUUCUUAGAAUUGUACUAGGGUUAAAACUCUCCUACUAUAUAAAGGGGGUAGUUUUUAUUGUAUGGACACAUUGUAACACGCAUAAUUUUUACUACUCUCUAGCUAUAGAAAAAUUGUUGCUUUACUGUUCAUUGUUCAUUCUCUAUUGGCUCCGAACCGAGGGUCCGAUCGAGGGCAAAACUAUUGUCCAACCCAAGUUCCAGCUGGGUCAUAACAAUACAACUGGUUUGAUUAUUCAUUUUAUCUUUUAUUCAUUUAUCUAACAUCCUCAAUUACUUGUAUUGAAUCAAUUCACAUAUUCUUAAAACCACGUAAAAUUUUAAUUGUUAUCCAUUUUAAGGGUAAACAGUUUGGCGCCCACCGUGGGGCUAAGAAUAAUAGUGGUGGUUUAAUAUAAAUCUCCAUAAUACACUCUAUUUUAUACUUGUUCUUUAAGGUCUCAAUUUCAUGUCACCUUAAAAAUAUCAAAUUCUUAGUCCGCUCACUUGAACGUUGAGGAUGGGCCUGGCCAUCAUGGAAAAAACAACAAUCUGGUGCCUAGCAAUGAGGUGCCCCCUGCUGAUCCCAACGGGGUCCCAGUCACAUACACAGUCAAUGCUAACUCACAUGUGGCCAUCGACGCCAACCUCCCUACAGACCCCGAAAAUACCGUUCGCGGAGGAACCCGACCAACGACUCAAGGAGCACCCGAAGGCAAAGGUGACAGGGUUUCUCUACGAUUGAUCUUCAAAAUUCUGCAGGCUCAGAAAAUGGCGAGAGCGCAGCUGCAAAACCAAAGCCACGCCCCCAGCAGAGUUGAGCCCGAACAGCCCCGGAAAAACACCCGAAGAAAUGAGCAGAUCACCGAAAGGCCGGGCGAAGCUGAGUCCGAUGUGAGCCCUGAAGUAAUGAAAAUGUUAGAGGCAUUAACGAAACGAGUGGAAUCUGGUGAAAAGAAAAUCGAGGCAAACGACAAGAAGGUAGAGACAUAUAAUUACCGAGUUGAUCAAAUCCCAGGAGUGCCUCCAAUAUUGAAGGGCCCGGACUCCAAGAAAUUUGUCCAAAAGCCUUUCGCUCCGAGCGCGACACCGAAACUAAUCCCGAAGAGGUUUUAGAUGCCUGAUAUUCCAAAAUAUAAUGGAACCACGGAUCCAAAUGAGCAUGUGACCUCAUACACAUGUGCCAUCAAAGGUAACGACUUGGAAGACGAUGAAAUCGAGUCAGUGUUAUUAAAGAAGUUUGGGGAAACUCUGUUAAAAGGAGCGAUGAUAUGGUAACACAACAUGCCCCCAAAUUCCAUUGAUUCAUUCGCUAUGCUCGCAAAUGCUUUUGUGGAGGCUCAUGCCGGGGUCAUUAAGGUCGAGACAAGAAAAUCGGACCUUUUCAAGGUUAAGCAAUGGGACAACGAGAUGCUUAGGGAGUUCAUAUCGAGGUUUCAAAUGGAACGGAUGGACCUGCCUCUGGUUGCGGACGGUUGGGCCGUUCAGGCAUUUACUUAGGGACUCAACCCCCGAAGCUCCUUGGCUUCGCAGCAGCUGAAACAAAACUUGGUAGAAUACUCGGCGCCAUUGGUUCUUCUCACUGUUGAAAAAGAAGAAUAAUUUUUUCUGGACCCCGGAAUGCCAACAAGCUUUGGAAGAACUUAAACGAUACCUUUCGAGUCCUCCACUGCUCCACACUCCGAAGGAGGAUGAGUAACUUUACCUCUACUUGGCAGUGUCCCAGGUGGUGGUACGUGGAGUUUUGGUCCGGGAAGAGGAAAGUAUGCAAUUUUCAAUUUACUAUGUCAGUAGAACUCUAGGCGAGGUUGAAACAAGGUAUCCCCACCUGGAAAUAUUGGCGCUCGCUUUGUUAAGCGCAGAAAACUAAAAUUGUACUUUCAAUGUCACCCCACAUGUGUUGCAACCUCUUACCCACUGAGAAACAUCAUGCACAAGCCCGGACUCUCUGGAUGAUUGGCCAAAUGGACCGUCAAAAUCAGUGGGUACGAUAUUGAGUAUCGACCCCAAACUGCCAUAAAAUCUCAAAUUUUGGCCGGCUUCGUGGUCGACUUUACGCCGACCUUAGUGCCCGAAGUCGAAAGAGAAUUAUUGUUAGCCUUGGGGACUACCUCGGGAAUUUGGACCCUUUUUACGGACGAUGCCUCAAACGCAAAUGGGUGCGGGCUCGGCAUUGUGCUGAAGCCUCCUACGGGGAAUGUAGUUAGGCAGUCUAUUAGAACUGUAAAAUUAACUAACAAUGAGGCCGAGUAUGAGGGCAUCAUUUCAGUUCUCGAAUUGGCUAAAAGCCUUGGGGCCGAGAUGGUCGAAGCUAAGUGCGAUUCCCUCCUUGUGGUAAAUCAAGUCAAUGGGACAUUCAAAGUAAAAGAGGAAUGAAUGUGAAGGUAUUUGGACAAGUUACAGGUAAUGCUGCAUCAAUUCAAGGAAUGGACUCUACAACACGUGCCCCGAGAUUAGAACAACGAGGCCGAUGCUUUGGCUAACUUGAGGUCCUCGGUUAAUAAUGAUGAGUUUAGCUCAGGGACAGUAGUACAACUCAUGAAGUCGAUAGUAGAAUAAGGUCACGCCGAAGUAAACUCCAUGAGUUUAACUUGGGAUUGGAGGAACAAGUACAUAGAUUACUUGAAGACUUGAAAAUUACCCUCGGAUCCUAAGGAAUCGAGAGCUCUGCAUACGAAGGCUUCCAGGUUUAGCUUGUCCGAAGGGACUCUAUUCAGAAGAACGUUCGACGGCCCACUGUCCAUAUGCUUGGGGCCGGGAGGUACCGAAUAUAUCUUGAGAGAAGUUCACGAAGGCACUUGCGGGAACCAUUCGGGAGCAGAAUCUUUGGUUCUGAAAUUAAUCAGGACUGGCUAUUACUGGAUUGAUAUGGAGAAAGACGCGAAGGACUUUGUACGAAGAUGCGAUGGCUGCCAGAGACAUGCACCGAUGAUCCAUCAACCAGGAGAGCUACUCUAUUCGGUCUUAUCCCUAUGGCCGUUCAUGAAAUGGGGAACAUACAUUAUCGGUCCCCUGUUAUGGGCACUGGUAAGGCUCAAUUCAUAUUAUUCAUGACCGAUUAUUUUUCUAAAUGGGUCGAAGCUCAAGCGUUCGAGAAAAUCCGGGAAAAAAAGUCAUUGACUUUAUUUGGGACCACAUAAUAUGCCAAUUCGGAUACCGACCGAGAUCGUAUGUGAUAAUGGGAAACAGUUCGUCGGCAGCAAGGUAAAUAAGUUCUUCGAAGAUCAUAAGAUAAAGAAAAUACUAUCAACACCUUACCACCUGAGUGAAAACGGACAAGCAGAAUCUACGAACAAGACCAUUUUCCAAAAUCUGAAAAAGAGGUUGACCGAUGCCAAAGGAAAAUGGAAGGAAAUCCUGCCCAAAGUCCUAUGGGCGUACCGUACGAUUCCAAAAUCUAGUACCGGGGCCACCCCGUUCUCACUGGUCUACGGUGCCGAAGCCUUAAUACCGGUCGAAGUGGGAGAACCGAGCCUCAGAUUCCAAUAUGCGACCGAAGAGUCGAAUGGCGAGGCCAUGAUCACGAGCCUAGAACUAUUGGAUGAAAAACGUGAUGCCGCCUUAGUCCGGAUGGCCACCCAAAAAUAAUGGACAGAAAGAUACUACAACCGAAGAGCUAACCUCCGACACUUCAAGAUCAGGGACUUGGUGUUGAGGAAAGUAAUACUACACACUCGGGACCCGAACGAGGGGAAGCUGGGACCGAAUUGGGAAGGACCAUACCGAAUCAUCGGAGUUACCGAUAAAGGCUCAUGCAAACUCGAAGAGGGAAACAGUGUGCAACUGCCGAACAAUUAAAACGUGACACACAUAAAAUGGUACUACUACUAAGGUACAAUCUCAACUACUCUUUUAUCAUGUUAUGAAUCAAACUAACACUUGCAGGCAACACUCAAGAAUGGAUGUGGCUAUUAGGUCUGAAAGCACGCGUUGCACUCUUUUUCCCUUGAACCGGUUUUGUCCCAAAAUGAAUUUUUCUGCAAGGUUUUUAACGAGGCAACAGUAAAACAAGCUAACUUAGAUUCGAAGGCCGGUCUUAAAUCGUAGUCAAUGGGUGUUCAUUCUGUAUCAACAGUAUCCGAUCGACCUUGAAUAUUGGGGGCCAUAAUCCCCGGGUUAAGGCUCUUAGCAAUGAAGGGAGGACACUUCGUACUUGAGUAGCUAAGGCUCGGUAGUUAGGAUACAUUGUAAGGGCCAAAUGGUAGUAAAAACCGUGCCCACGUAGCCCACCUUAGCCAUGAUAUAAAUUUUUAUCAUGUACUUUACACAUUGAAAUGAAAGAAAGUUCCGCGUUGCUAUUAUACAUUUUCUUGCCUCUUAAAACCCUGGAUCCUAAGAGCCCAGGGUCUACCCCUACUCAGGGACUAUCAAGCCCAAGGGCUACCCUUACUCGGGGACUAUCAUCCGAAAAAGGUUCGGACGAACCGGGCUACUAGAUCCCAUUUCGAACCCAAGAGCUACCCCUACUCGGGGACUAUCAUCCAAAAAAUGCUCGGAUGAACCGGGCUACUAGAUCCUGGGAGCACCAAACCUAUUGGAUAGUUUCCAAAAACAAAAGGCUGCGGCCGCCCAAAAAAUGGCUCGAAGACGUCCGAAGCUCGUGAUCAAAAGAAAGGCCUUUAUAAAAAUUCAAAACCUGCUAAAAGGUUACCCUCGGCAAAAGCACCGUCUAAAAUCACUUAAGCAUCUUGAAAAAACUUCCAAUCAUAUCGAGUUUUUAAAGCCUCGAGCAAACAAGGUUGUAUCGAAGUCAGUCUCCAUUCGAACUUCUGAAAAAACGGACGCCCUAUAACUAUAUUGGAUUCUAUGAUAAGGCAUUAGGGACAUUGCAAGAAUAGAAAUUAUUAAAAGAUGCUAAAAAAGUAGACACUCAGAAUUGCCAGAAAGGGAAAUUUUUAUAUAUUCCAGAAUAUACUUACAAAGGCCCAACAAAAAUGGCCUCAAAAUAAACAAAAAUGUACAUAAGACAAAAACCAAAAAAGUACUAAGGCAUCCACACCUGAUCUUCACCAGAGCCCGACUCUUCGCUAGAACUGUCGGAGCUUUCGGGUUCCUAUGAACCCUCGGAACCCUCAGAGCCUUUUGCAUUUUCGGGCUCAUAAAGCUUCCUCGCCUUGGCUUAAGAUUUUUUGGCUUCUUCGAUCUCAGCCGACAUGUCAAAGCCUCGAGUGUGGAUAUCCUCGAGGGUCUCUCUACGGGAUAACCGCUUCAUAUAUUCGGCCUUUGCCUUCAGGCAGACUUCGGCUGCCUCCACAUCGGCGUUGUAUUGGGCCACCAUUUCGUUGGCAUCGGCGGAGGUAGUAGCCAACUAGGACUUUAUUGCCUCGUAUUCUCUACUGAGGGUGUCCCUAUCAAUGACAACCAAGCUCAGUUGUGCUCAGAGAUCAUCGUUCAAUUGAGACCACUUGUCAGCUUUCUCCUUCGCAACCCAUAGUUGGACCUCUACUGAUGCCAGCUUCACCUUGGCAGUUUCCUUAUCCGAAGCCAGAAGGUCCAUUCUGCUUUUCCACCCAUCGGCCAUGGCUUGGACCUCGUUCAUCUCGGCUCCGGAGUUGGUUAAUUAGGUCAAUAUUCUGUUGGACUUGUGAGGUUGUAUUGUUAGUCACCACGGCAAGCUCCUCAUUUUUUAGUCACCAUGGCAAGCUCGUCGUUUUUAACCUCAAAGACCUUUACCUUUUCAACCAGGUCGGCAUGAUCCCACCUCAGGAUCAAAGUCUCCUUCUAAGCCCUGUCCAGCUCGGCCCAAAGACCAUUGAUGGCCCUAUCCUAUUGCUUACUAAGGAGAUUGAACAUAUCCUUUUUUCGGGCAUGUUCCUUGUGGUUGAACUCGAGCUGGCUGAUUUCCAAGCGAUAUUGAAGUAAGCUCUCAUGGUGAAGCACUGAAGCCUGUAAAGAAAGGGAACUAAGUAAGAAACGUCAAAGGGAGACUUUAAGUGGUUCAUAAGGGAAAGUUUGAAGGUUACAAAACCUUACUCUGUUCAAUGCCUGUUGUACCUCAUUGAAGAGACUCAACGUGCCCACCUCGUUCAUCUUUGACUGGUCCUCCUCGGUUAACAGGCAUCGGAGGUAGCUGGCUACGCCUACUGGAGCGGAUAGGACCCGAGCAUCCUUCGAAACUGUGAUAACAACCGUCCUCUUGCGCUCAGGGUCCGCGUUCAGCGCAGGAAACUGCCUCACCAAUCUUGGGCUCGUGCUCGGCCCGUCAGUUCCCAUAGGUACGUCCUUCUUCGGUAUCUCCAGGUGCCCCAACCCGAAAACAUCUUCCAAUGUAGACGUAUCCAUGCCUUCUAAGAAAGAGUGGAGAAGGUCUUCUGCACCUUGUGCCCCUUCACUUGAUUUUUCUUUGCCGGCUUGGGCCUCUUCGAGCAUGGAUUCGGUGUAGGAGGGCGUCUACAUGAUGUCUAUCACAUCAGUCGCCUCUUUUGAUACAGAAGCGGCUUCUCGGGAGGUCUUAGCCCCCUUUCCAUCUCGGCCUCUCGAAUCAGGGGAAGGUCGUCCUCAUGACCCUUCCCCUUGGUUGCCGCCUACUCCCCCGCAAGGGUCAAUCCAUGGGCAACAAAGAUAUCAUCUUCUUCGGGCUCAUCCCUAAGCCGGUAAAGCAAAUGAGAGUCUGGUACCCGUGGCACAAUAUUCCUUUUGGGCUUAUGGGACCGAGUGAACGACCUCCUUUUUAUCUUCACCUCGGACCCCUACGAGCCCGAGGAUUUUCUUUUCCUCCGCUGCAGCCCCGGGCUGUCCUGUAAUGGAGGGAUCAACGGAUAGGGAUGUAUCCUCGCCCCCUUUCAGCGGCCUAAGUUCAGUGGUCUUAGGCAAACCUGCGAAGGAAAGAGAAAGGAUCAGCGUUAUAUAUGUUCGAGGCAUAAUAUUGACUAUUCUAAGAAGAGCCUUACCAUGUGAACGGGCCUCCCAUAGGCCCUUUGAAAGAUUGCGCUACGAGCGCUCAAAAUAUGACAUCUGCUUGCAGAUGCCUUUGAUCCACUCCUUGAGCCGGGGGACCGCAUUGGGAACCCGAGCAACAACUGCACGAUCACAAAUACUGACGUUGAGAAGGGGAACAAAAGAAAACUCGACACUUAAGGAAAAUGUGCACUUACGCAUUGCAUUCCACUUCUCGGGGAAUGGCAGAAACUUGGGAGGGAUUAAAUCUUCGGUCUUCACUCGAACAAAGCACCCCUGCUAGCCUUGGUCUCGGUCCUCGUCGAUACUCGAAAAGGGGGCCUUGCUGGCCCGGCGAGUGAUCUUGAUUAGUCCCUCUCGGAAGAUUCAGAGACUGUAUAGGCGGAGCAGGUGGUCGAGGGUGAACCGACGAGACUCGGUGUUAUUCGCAAAGUAACAGAGGAGGAUCACGAUCUUCCAAAGAGACAGGUGGAUUUGCCCAAGGCACACCUCGUAUCUUUUGCAAAAGUCCAAAACAACUGGGUAUACAUGGCCUAGUGUGAAGGGAUAAGUGUAAACACUUAAAUACCCUUUCACGUGAGUGGUGAUGUCGUCCUCAGGCCCGGGGACUACCACGUCCUUACCUCCCCAGUUACAAUCCUCUCGGACAAUGGGAAGGGUAUCUUCGGUGAUAGAGCAUAUAUACCUCGAUGCCCUUUCACCUCGGUCUUGUUUGGACGAGGCCUUCUUGAUUUGAAGUCGUCUAAGGUCGAGCAGCCCCCGGGAAUAAAGCUCUUCAUGGGGGGCUCUGGAGCCGAUUCAGCGGCAACCAUCUCGGGAGCAACCGCUUCGGGAGCAGCCAUCUCGAGAACAACUACUUCAGGAGCGGCCGCCUCGGUACCUGUGACCGGGUGAGAAGACAAAGAGGCAACUUGUUGAGGAACUGAUUUGGAAGUUUUAGCCAUUACUAUCUGAGAAAGUUUGAAAACUUAAAAAAAAGUAUGAAGGUUUGAAGGAACAAGUUUGAAGGCUAAAGAAAAAAGUACGAAGAUUUGAAGGUAAGAUAAAGAUCUGGGUAAGAACCUAAGAACAAAUAUGAAGAUUUGGAGAUCAAAGAUGAAGAUAUGAAGGUUUGAAAGAGUUGGUAACAACUAGAAAAUUCGAAGGUAGAAGCUUGGAUCGGAAAGUGGAAAAAGAGCAAAGGGUAGAAGCUUUUAUAAGGGUAGUACGCGACGUUUCAUAUUCAGGAGCGACCAGCCGAUGAUUGACACAUGUCCGAAGUCAGAACGACAUGACUGAUGGGACGUUUCGGCUUCUUUGUCCUUUUGGUUGUAACGUACGAAGGAAGGAACCGAGGAACAUUUAUCGUUUCCCAUCAUUUCGGUAAACCUACUCUCUAAGAAACGAGGGGAAUAUCUGUAUACAGAUAAAACCGGGGGUAACCUAUACGGGGUCAAAAGAAGCAAAGGACGAUUAUACGGGGUCAGAAUCAAAGCCGGAACGCCUUGUACUAAGGUCCGAACGGAGUGGUCGCCACCAGGCUUGAUAAGACAUUACUUCUCUGAUCCCGAAACGAGCUCCGAGACCUCGGAAGACACGAUAACGGUUACCCACGACCAAUAGAGGGCCGUGAUAUCUGCACCCCAUCAGAUAUCACGGCGCAUAUCUCGGCCCGUAUCGGUAGUGGAUCAGUGAUUAACGAAAAAGAAUAUUUUUUACCUUUCUUAGAAUUGUACUAGGGGUUAAACUUUCCUACUUUAUAAAGGGGGAUAGUUUUUAUUGAAUGAACAUAUUGUAACACGCAUAUUAAAGGAAUACAAUUUCAUUUUUACUGCUCUCUAGCUAUAGAAAAAUUGUUGCUUUACUGUUCAUUGUUCAUUGUUCAUUCUCUAUUGGCUCCGAACCGAGGGUCCAAUUGAGGGCAAAACUAUUGUCCAACCCAAGUUCCAAUUGGGUCAUAGCAUUACAACUGGUUUGAUUAUUCGUUUUAUUUUUCAUUCAUUUAUCUAACAUUCUCAAUUACUUGUAUUGAAUCAAUCUACAUAGCUUUAAAACCACGUAUAAAUUUAAUUAUUAUUUAUUUUAAGGGUAAACAUAGUUAAUGGUUUCAUCUUUGAACACAUUAUUAAAAUGAAAGCUAUUAAUUCCCAAGAUCUUCUCUUCUAUCUCCCUGUCCCCAUUAUUCGCGGAUUGAUAUCUAUGUAAUAAAAUAUUUUCAAAAAAUUUAUUAGUUGUACUUUCCGUGAGAACAAUACGAUUGAGGCUAAUAACGCCACGUUGACUCUAAACUUAGAAAAUUCCUUAGUCAAAUGGUACAGCUACUUAUUAGUGCUACUAUGGUAAAUAAAUUAAUUCAAUAAGAAGAUUUCGCAUCAGCUUUUGGUCCACAGUACGAAAGAGUUGGUCAUUUUCCAAUAAGGAUUCGUGCCAAAUUAAAUAAAACUAUGUCAAUAUCACAUGGAAAUUAAAUUGCGAACUCACCAAAUAGAAAUUGCAUCCACAGCUACUUCAGCAUUCUUGAGGUAUCCAGCAACGAGAAUUAGUG